GUUGUAUGGUUAAGUGACUAAGCGUACACGGUGGAUGCCUUGGCAGUCAGAGGCGAUGAAGGACGUACUAACUUGCGAUAAGCGGUGAUGAGGCAGUAAGAGCCACUUGAGUCACCGAUUUCCGAAUGGGGAAACCCACUGGCAUAAGCCAGUAUCGCUGCAUGAAUACAUAGUGCAGCGAAGCGAACCGGGAGAACUGAAACAUCUAAGUAC
rnacentral:rRNA from 1 species